ensembl:snRNA U1 U1 spliceosomal RNA
AUACUUACCUGGCAGGGGAGAUACCAUGAUCAAGAAGGUGGUUCACCCAGGGCGAGGC